AAAAAAAGAGAAACAAAUUAAAGAAAAUACGAAAAAAUUUGGUCUUGUUUAUUUAAAAUUGGGUCAAUCCUUAAAUUGGCCCCAAUUAAUACAAUCCGUUCAGGCCCAACUCAUUCCCUAAUUCUAUAUACCUAAUCUAGACCUAGAUAAGAGUGGGGGAACCAUCAUAUCCCUCACAUAAGAAUAAUGAGAAGUUCCCCACUUGAAAAAUCAAAAAAUGGCGCAUCUUGAAAGGGGCUUCUUCUCCAUUUUACAAUUACCAAGAACGCCAACUCAAGCUCAGCAUAACGCUAAAGGCUAAACUCCGGUAAACCAACAAAAAUCACCACCAAGCGUUCUCUCUUCUCUCUCUUUACACACUACUCAUUACACUCCAUCCCAUUGUUGUUGCCAUAUGCCUGUGUGAGUUCACAUGUAUUCUUAGACUAAUAUUAUCACUAGAUCUUUUUAACCUUUUUGGUUCCGUGCUUGAAUCAGCCACGCUUAGUACUAUAUGGCAAUGCUGUACACGGUGACAACACACAUUGUAUUAUGCCCAUAUCUAUCGGCCACUAGAAUGCAACAGAAGAUGGCAUGAAAGUUGUUUUCAAAUUGCUGAGCGAACUUCUGUUUUCUUUUUUACUUGUAAAGGUACGAUUUCCACUACUGAUAAAUUUUCAGAUGUUUACAGUGGUUGAAAAAUUGUGAAGUAUAGUUGGGUUAUGGAUUCUAAAUAUUUAAUGAAAUAAACCACUGUUUGUUAGAUCUAAUUGAGCCAAAAUUGGUUAAAAAUACAUUUCUAGUCAGAUGCAUUUUUACGUGUGAUUUCAUAUAAAUUCAAAUGAAGUGUUAAAUCCAAGUAGCUAUAGAAAUGCAUUUUGGUAGAUUCAUGGGUUUCAGCAGAAUAGUUUUAUUUUUCGUUACUCUAUGUGAUAGGUUUCAUUUUUCAUUUGGUCUUGGUAUUUUCCUUUUUCUUUGUAUUUUUAAAUUAUGCAUAUGUAUUGAAUUCUUGUUAUGAGGGGCUUUGGGCCUAGUAAAGCAUAUUCCUUAGCCCACGGUGAAAAUCACUUAUUGGUGUAGAUAAGCUUU
rnacentral:lncRNA from 1 species